AUUGAACGCUGGCGGCAGGCCUAACACAUGCAAGUCGAACGAGUGGCGGACGGGGGAAUAAUGUCGGGGAAACUUCCUGAGGGAGGGGGAUAACUACUGGAAACGGUAGCUAAUACCGCAUACCAUCGGAUGUGCCCAUAGGGGAUGCGCGAGUAGGUGGGGUAAAGGCUCACCUAGGCGACGAUCCCUAGCUGCUCUGAGAGGAUGACCAGCCACACUGGAACUGAGACAAGGUCCAGAAGCCUACGGGAGGCAGCAGUGGGGAAUAUUGCACAAUGGGCGCAAGCCUGAUGCAGCCAUGCCGCGUGUAUGAAGAAGGCCUUCGGGUUGUAAAGUACUUUCAGCGGGGAGGCGUUACCCGCAGAAGAAGCACCGGCUAACUCCGUGCCAGCAGCCGCGGUAAUUC
rnacentral:rRNA from 1 species